CGUGUAGGCGGGUCUUUAAGUCAGGGGUGAAAUGCCAAGGCUCAACCUUGGAACUGCCUUUGAUACUGGAGAUCUUGAGUCCGGGAGAGGUGAGUGGAACUGCGAGUGUAGAGGUGAAAUUCGUAGAUAUUCGCAAGAACACCAGUGGCGAAGGCGGCUCACUGGCCCGGAACUGACGCUGAGACGCGAAAGCGUGGGGAGCAAACAGGAUUAGAUACCCUGGUAGUCCACGCUGUAAACGAUGGAUGCUAGCCGUUGGGGAGCUUGCUCUUCAGUGGCGCAGCUAACGCUUUAAGCAUCCCGCCUGGGGAGUACGGUCGCAAGAUUAAAA
rnacentral:rRNA from 1 species